GGGCAUAUGGUGUAGGGGUUAUCACGUUCGCUUUGCAUCAUAGAAUAUUUCACAUCUCUGCUUGCGAAAGGUCUCCGGUUCAAAUCCGGAUUUGUCCA